GUUGGGUAGGGGAGCGUUCUGUAAGCCUGUGAAGGUGGCCUGUGAGGGUUGCUGGAGGUAUCAGAAGUGCGAAUGCUGACAUAAGUAACGAUAAAGCGGGUGAAAAGCCCGCUCGCCGGAAGACCAAGGGUUCCUGUCCAACGUUAAUCGGGGCAGGGUGAGUCGACCCCUAAGGCGAGGCCGAAAGGCGUAGUCGAUGGGAAACGGGUUAAUAUUCCCGUACUUGGUGUUACUGCGAAGGGGGGACGGAGAAGGCUAUGUUGGCCGGGCGACGGUUGUCCCGGUUUAAGCGUGUAGGUGUGUGUUCCAGGUAAAUCCGGUUCACUUUAACACUGAGGCGUGACGACGAGGCACUACGGUGCUGAAGCAACAAAUGCCCUGCUUCCAGGAAAAGCCUCUAAGCAUCAGGUAACAUCAAAUCGUACCCCAAACCGACACAGGUGGUCAGGUAGAGAAUACCAAGGCGCUUGAGAGAACUCGGGUGAAGGAACUAGGCAAAAUGGUGCCGUAACUUCGGGAGAAGGCACGCUGACACGUAGGUGAAGUGAUUUACUCAUGGAGCUGAAGUCAGUCGAAGAUACCAGCUGGCUGCAACUGUUUAUUAAAAACACAGCACUGUGCAAACACGAAAGUGGACGUAUACGGUGUGACGCCUGCCCGGUGCCGGAAGGUUAAUUGAUGGGGUCAGCGCAAGCGAAGCUCCUGAUCGAAGCCCCGGUAAACGGCGGCCGUAACUAUAACGGUCCUAAGGUAGCGAAAUUCCUUGUCGGGUAAGUUCCGACCUGCACGAAUGGCGUAAUGAUGGCCAGGCUGUCUCCACCCGAGACUCAGUGAAAUUGAACUCGCUGUGAAGAUGCAGUGUACCCGCGGCAAGACGGAAAGACCCCGUGAACCUUUACUAUAGCUUGACACUGAACAUUGAGCCUUGAUGUGUAGGAUAGGUGGGAGGCUUUGAAGCGUGGACGCCAGUCUGCGUGGAGCCGACCUUGAAAUACCACCCUUUAAUGUUUGAUGUUCUAACGUGGACCCGUAAUCCGGGUUGCGGACAGUGUCUGGUGGGUAGUUUGACUGGGGCGGUCUCCUCCUAAAGAGUAACGGAGGAGCACGAAGGUUGGCUAAUCCUGGUCGGACAUCAGGAGGUUAGUGCAAUGGCAUAAGCCAGCUUGACUGCGAGCGUGACGGCGCGAGCAGGUGCGAAAGCAGGUCAUAGUGAUCCGGUGGUUCUGAAUGGAAGGGCCAUCGCUCAACGGAUAAAAGGUACUCCGGGGAUAACAGGCUGAUACCGCCCAAGAGUUCAUAUCGACGGCGGUGUUUGGCACCUCGAUGUCGGCUCAUCACAUCCUGGGGCUGAAGUAGGUCCCAAGGGUAUGGCUGUUCGCCAUUUAAAGUGGUACGCGAGCUGGGUUUAGAACGUCGUGAGACAGUUCGGUCCCUAUCUGCCGUGGGCGCUGGAGAACUGAGGGGGGCUGCUCCUAGUACGAGAGGACCGGAGUGGACGCAUCACUGGUGUUCGGGUUGUCAUGCCAAUGGCACUGCCCGGUAGCUAAAUGCGGAAGAGAUAAGUGCUGAAAGCAUCUAAGCACGAAACUUGCCCCGAGAUGAGUUCUCCCUGAGACUU
rnacentral:rRNA from 3 species